rnacentral:rRNA from 1 species
GUCUGUGGCCAUGCCACCCUGAACAAGCCCAAUCCUGUCUGAUCUCGGAAGCUAAGCAGGAUUGGGCCUGGUUAGUACUUGGAUGGGAGACCACCUAGGAAGACCAGGUGUUGUAGGUA